rnacentral:rRNA from 1 species
AUUGAACGCUGGCGGCAUGCCUUACACAUGCAAGUCGAACGGUAACGGGCCUUCGGGUGCCGACGAGUGGCGAACGGGUGAGUAAUGCAUCGGAACGUACCUUUCAGUGGGGGAUAACGUAGCGAAAGUUACGCUAAUACCGCAUAUUCUGUGCGCAGGAAAACAGGGGAUCGCAAGACCUUGCGCUGAUUGAGCGUGUGAUAUCAGAUUAGCUAGUCGGUGAGGUAAAGGCUCACCAAGGCGACGAUCUGUAGCGGGUCUGAGAGGAUGAUCCGCCACACUGGAACUGAGACACGGUCCAGACUCCUACGGGAGGCAGCAGUGGGGAAUUUUGGACAAUGGGUGCAACCCUGAUCCAGCCAUGCCGCGUGAGUGAAGAAGGCCUUCGGGUUGUAAAGCUCUUUCGGCCGGGAAGAAAUCGCACGGGCUAAUACCCUGUGUGGAUGACGGUACCGGAAUAAGAAGCACCGGCUAACUACGUGCCAGCCGCCGCCGUAACAC